ensembl:lncRNA
UGACAGCAUCUGAUUUCUGCUGUUGUGGUGAUUUAUUUACAGAAUUGUUCAUAUUUGUAGUUAAAUAUCAGUACAGGAUUUAAAGAUGUUUAUAGAUUUCCAGACUUUUGGUCGUUUGCUGAAAUCUCUUCUUUUCAGGUGUGACUUCAGUUCAAUCUUUAAACCAAACUAAAGGUUCUAAUGUUAAUUUGGCAGCAGGUAAAACUUACAGACCGUUAGAGAAUCUCAGAAUUCACUUUAAAAGUCAAGAUGGCAGGAGAAUGAUACAACAGCUGUCCUACAGAUCCUUUAAUAUGUCAACUUGUCAUUGAAGACUUGAAAGAAACAAGAGCUAACUGGAGUUUGUGCAUCGUCCUGUGAAAGAAACACAGAAAACAUAAAAUACAUAAAUAUAUGUUCUAUAAAAAGUUGAGCUUACCGUAGAAAGAUACUAAAACUAUCCUGAGUUCAUUAGGAAUCGAGGAAUUCUUUAAGUUUCUAACAGAUACGAGAUGCUAUGACAAAUCGAUUUGUUGGUCAAGACUUUAUAAAACAGGAUCUGACUGGAGUUUGUGCAUCAUUUUGGGGACAAAAAACUUCAGUUGUGCAGAAAAUAAGUUGUAUUUUGCAGCUCAACCAGCAGAGAGAAAAGUUCAAGAACUAUAAGCUUCAGGUUUGUAGAGUUUCCAGGAUUUAUUCGGCUGCCGAAGCACUACAAAGAGUUUUGCAGCGGAUUGAACUCAAUAACUCAACUUUUAUUGCUUUAAACUGAUCAUCUGCAGGUAAAAAGUACAAAAACCAACCAAUAUGAGCCAAAAAGGUGCAAAAAUUCAUUCUUAAGUCACUGAAAACGUCCUUUUUUGAGCCUUUCCUGCACAGAAUCGGUUCAAACGUUCACAACAAACAUCAGUUCACACGUUUUGCAUCAGUUUUUUUUCUGACUGAAACAAGCAAGUUUAAGUUUUACAGGUUUUUCUUCCGUGUGUGUGAAUGUGUGUGUUUGUAUUAAAUAUGCAUCGUCCUUUAUCACCACACACACACACACACACAGUAUCACAAACACAGUCACUGCAGCUGAUGGGUCGGAGUUAAACAGCAGAAAGACGUCACUGUAUGCAGUUUGUAAAUGGAGAUCUGUUAUUAAAACAACAUGAAACCUG